GUCUACGGCCAGGCUACCCUGAAUAAGCCCGAUCUCAUCUGAUUUCGAAAGCUAAGCAGGGUCGGGCCUGGUUAGUACCUGGAUGGGAGACCACCUAGGAAGACCAGGUGCAGGAAC
rnacentral:rRNA from 1 species